rnacentral:rRNA from 1 species
UAUGGCAAAUGUGAGAUGCAGUGUACGGAACAUCAAUAUUCUAGUAUGAGAAGUUAACGAUUUAAGUCCUUCUUAAAUGAGGCCAUUUACCCAUAGAGGGUGCCAGGCCCGUAUAACGUUAAUGAUUACUAGAUGGUGUUUCCAAAGAGUCGUGUUGCUUGAUAGUGCAGCACUAAGUGGGUGGUAAACUCCAUCUAAAACUAAAUAUAACCAUGAGACCGAUAGUAAACAAGUACCGUGAGGGAAAGUUGAAAAGAACUCUGAAUAGAGAGUUAAAUAGUACGUGAAACUGCUUAGAGGUUAAGCCCGAUGAACCUGAAUAUCCGUUAUGGAAAAUUCAUCAUUAGAAUUGUAAUAUUUUAAACAAUAUUAUAAUAAUAGUGUGCAUUUUUUCCAUAUAAGGACAUUGUAAUCUAUUAGCAUAAAUAUUUAUCAUAAAAUUAUGUCUGAUUGAUUAUUUGAAUUAUAUGCUUGCAUUUUAACAUAAAAUAAAUGACAUAAAUUUGAUAAAGUGCUGAUAGAUUUAUAUGAUUACAGUGCGUUAAUUUUUCGGAAUUAUAUAAUGGCAUAAUUAUCAUUGAUAUUUGUGUUUAUUAUAUGCACUUGUAUGAUUAACAAUGCGAAAGAUUCAGGAUACCUUCGGGACCCGU